ensembl:lncRNA
CCUCGCUGAUGUGCCCUGGAAGCAAAAUCAUAUACCCAAACUCACACACUUCUCAUAACUCAUUCACAGAUUUAACAAUACCUGAAACUAAAUAGAAAAAUGGAGAGGACAUGAAUCUAGAAAUGCCUUGUUCCCUCCUAAUGUCUGAAAAGAGACUGUAUGAGACAAAGAGAAACUUUUUUUUUUACAAACUUACUCUGCAUUUAAGAAUUAUAAGGAUAGUUUUUUUUCAAAUUUGAAAUCUCUUCAUGUUUUUUCUCUUGUUAAAAUCCAUUCUAAAAAAUACAACCAAUAAUGAAAUGUCUACAGCGAAAUCGCUUCAUAAUCUCAUUCUCAAACACGGAAGAGGUAAUCUUUCAUAGACAUGGGUCUAUGCACGUGUGCAUGUCUGUGUGUUAGUGGCUCAGUUGUGUCUGACUCUUUGCAACCCCAUUGACUGUACCCCGCCAGGCUACAGUCCAUAGGGUCGCACAGAGUCAGACACGACUGAAGUGAUUUAGCACAGCACAGCACAUUCUCUUCUUAUUUAACAUUUCAUAUUUAUCAUAUAAUAAAUUCUGCUUGAACCUUUUUACAACAAUAGAGAAAGUAAAGGGAAAGCCAGAAUAAGGCAACAAUUUUUAAGAAACUCAGAUUAUCCAAUGAUAUACAGCCAUUAAAACCAGGAAUGAGGAAUUCCCUGGUGGUUUAAUGAUUAGGACUCUGUGCUCUCACUGCCCAGGGCCCAGGUUCAGUGUCUAGUUGGGGAACUAAGAUCCUGCAAGCUACAUGGUGGUGUGGCAAAAAAAAAAAAAUCAAGAAUGAAUGAAACAUGUUGACAAAGGUCGUUGCACCUACUUCUAUGGACAAGGUAAGGUGAUGCCAAAAGCCAAAAAUUAGAUGGUUUGGAUGAGAGGGAUUUCUCCUCAACUUGAAAGGUGGUCAUGGUUUUCACAAAUGCAAAUUCCUUGCUUCUUGAUCUUCAGUGAAGCUGGGGAAAAAACCACUCAGCUUUGGACAAAAGGGAGGGAAGCAAAUGUCAAAAUCUCAAGAAAGAAUAAUGGUCAACUUUGCAUCCAAGAGAUGCUAACUGUAACUCUAUUUACCCAAACUCACCUACUCUGCACAUGACAUAUCCUAACAGUCUCAAACUACACCUGAGCAUGUCUUUUAAGAGUCUCUUGUAUUUUCUUUUCUGAAAAUCGUGGUCAUAUACUUUGCUUACUUUUCUACUUUGUUUGCUUUUUCUUGUUGAUUUG